GAAUGGUUGAAUGAGGAUGAGGAGCAUGCAAUCUUGGAUGGAGUUGAUGCUGCUAGCGCCGUGUUUGAGAAAAUAUGUUUGCUUAACUCAAGUAGGAAAGUUUCUCAUCUUGCAAGGAAGGACAAUGGCAGGAAAAGAAAGAGGGUAGAGGAAGAAGUGGAUGACUACCAUGAUAGUGAGGAUGAUGAAGAAGAAAAUGAGGAGCUGGACCUGGAAAUUGAUGAUGAUGAUGAUAGCCAUGAUGAUGGUGCAAGUCAAUCUGAUAGAGGAUUCGCCAAUGCAAAUUGAAAAGGAUUUAACAAGCCAAGUUGGAAACAAUGUUGAGGUAACAAGUGAUGGUAGUUUGGUGAACCGUAGAUCUGAACGGGUUAGGCAAGCCAAGAAGGUCAAGGAGGUCACCAGCCUUUACAAUUGACAAGUAAGUUCCUUGUGAUGACAUCAAUAAUUUCCCAUUUAUGCACUUUCUUAUAUCCUGUCAUUAACAUGUGGUGUUUGCUUUAGUCCAUAUGAUUUUAUAUGUUGUUUCAAUUGGGGUUGCCAUCUAUUAACUGUUGUUUCUGCCAUCUACUUGAUGUUUUUAUAAUUCACAAUGCGUUAGUCCAUAUGAUUCUAUAUGGUGUUUCAAUUGGGGCUGCCAUCUAUGAGUUAUUGCUGCCAUCUACUUGUAAUGUUUAUAUAAUUCACAAUGCUUUAGUCCAUCUGAAUUUAUAUGUUGUUUUAAUUUGGGCUGUCAUCUAUGAGUUGUUUCUGCCAUCUACUUGUAAUACUUAUAUAAUUCACAUUGUUUCUGCCCAUAUGAUUUUAUAUGUUGUUCCAAUUGCAGUUGCCAUCAUUGAGUUGUUGGUUCUGCCAUCUACUUGUAAUGUUUAUAUAAUUCACAAUGCUUUAAUUGCAAGGUUAAGCGGCAUGGGAGCAAAAGAGCUUUUGGUUUGAUGAAGACUAACGGGUGGAUGAACAGGAAGUCCGAAGUGAAGGUCUCUGUUCGAUUCAAUACUUUUGGUGCAAGACUGAAGAGUUGAAGAACAGGAAGUCUGAAUUGAACUUUUUGUUUGUAUUUUGGGGUCGACAUAAUUGAACUUUGAAUGUCGUGUUAAAUUCAUUGUGGACUGUAAUUCUGAACCUUAUGGGUGUUCGUUUCGACUCUUGGUAGAAUUAUUAAGUCGCAUGUUACUCUUAGUAUCUGAACUAUCAAGUCACAUGUUAAUCUGGACUAUCAUGUUGCUUUUCUAGUGGUUGCUGCUCUCCGAAUUGAUCCACUAUGCUAUUAUCUGAAUGGUUGCAACUGGAGUGUUGAUGUUUAGUCUGAUACGUAGUGAUUUGAUGAAUAGAUUCAGCUGUUUGAUUUUUACAUGCAUAUUUUGCUAAAAGUUCUGAAUACUCAUCUGUUGUUCUGUUGUAUUUCAAAAUUUUAGGCAAAUUUCGCCCAUUUUUCGUUCAUUUUUCGUUCAGUUUUCGUCCCAAAAUUCAAAUUUUGUUUUAUGAUUUUCGUCCGAGAUUUUCCGAAAAAAUCCGAAAAAUCCGAAUUUCGCCCAUUUCGUCAAGGACCGGUAAAAAUCAAAAAACGAAAUCCGAAAUUCUGCCAUGGACGAUAUCUAAUAGAAUAAAAUGCUGAUAUUGACUGCUCCCUUGCUCUUGAUUAUCUUUCUUGUUGAUGAAAAAUGUCACUAUAUUUGUGCUUUGCUGAUAUUUAAGUUCUGUUUGAUUUGUUCCCUUUUCUGAACGUCGUAAUAAGUAGCUACUGUGUCGUUUUGCUACCUGUAGGUUCUUGCUUCAGUUUUACGCCCUGCUGGUGGUAGUCUGCUGAGUUCUUUUGCUCUAGUUUGCUUAGGCAUCCCUGAUGUGGUUGUAUGUCAGGGCUGUGAGAUUAUUUCUGCUUAUCCAUAGCACGCCAUUUUCUUAAUGAAAACGGGAGCCAAGUGGCCCGUUCUAUCCUUUCUGCCUCCACGGAAGAUGACACAACUUUGGCUCAGCCAGAGAACCUAUGUCACAACUUUCUGAUUUUUUUGUUGUUUCUUUUCUGAGGCUACGCGAUGGUAUGAAUUCAUGACUGUCAAAUGCUUAGAAUCAAGAAAUAGUUGUCGAUGAUAUUGACUGCUUCCUUGGCUGUUAACUAUAUUUCUAGAUAUGGUGCGGAUUACAUAUAUUUGUUUCUUGUAAAAAAAAUUCUUCGAGAAAACGCAGAAGACCUUUGCGUUUCAUUUCAUUGGAAAGGUAGGAAGUCAGUUACAGCCGUCCUAGGACGAACAAUCGAGGAUCGGGUACAACACUCAGUGCACAUCCCAUGAAGUGGGUAGGACACUAGGACUACUCUAAGGCCUGCUGCUCUGGCCUUUGCCCAGGAGCAGGCUUCCUCCUUGAUCCUGUCCACUAGCGUGCCUAGGUAGGGCGUCGCGUUGUCGAAGACGCAACUAUUCCUAUGGUUCCAGACCAAACAUGGUACGACUAGUGCGACGGAUUGCAGGGCCUUGCGUUGUGCUUGUCAAAUUUAGAUGUUUUCUUUUAAUCAAUUGGUUGAUGAGUUUACUUUAGCAGUUUUGUUACAAGUAUUUUUUUGCAUGUAACAUGUUUUACACAUUUCCUUUUGACGCUCAUGAAUGUCUGAUCUGUUAGACUGUUAUUGACUGCAUGCAUGGCUUGUGCUUCAGAUGUACGACUGUGGCAACUUAGGUCCAAUUGGCCCAUUGCCAUUGAGAGUGAUGAUGAUGAUUUGGUUACCCUCAAAAGUUGCCUGAGAGCUGAGAUUUGGAAGUACUACACUACAUGAAAUGGCAAGACUAGUCGGAUGUUAAAGCAACUGGUGCGUUUUGUUUGUAGAGAGUAUUGGAACACCCACACUACGGAGAUGUUGGAAGCACUCCAAUCUUGUGAGCACCGUCCUAACCUAUGUGCUCCUUCCUGUCCGAAUUAAUUGAUGCAAAUUCUAUACAAUGUAAAGUGGACAUUGGUAUAGAGGCUGACUCAAUUAAUUCGGAUAGGAUGGAGUAAUAAUUUUUUAUCAGCAAACAAUCAAUGCUUAGCUUUUGAUUCAUUCCUGAUAUGGUAUCAUACUGGAUGGUGAAACACUUUGCAUUUGUUAGUGAUGGUAUGUCUGUGUGGAUGAACCAUAAAGCUAGGAGUCGCUAUUAGUGCUGAACCGAAAAAUUGGAGAAUACAUUUUUGUUUGCUUGUACCAAGUCCACACCUGACUUUGCUUUAGAGCCUGUUUGGCACCACUUUUUAGUGCUGUCAGUUUUAUUUAUUUUUGCUAGGGGUCAUCAUCAAUUGAUUAGUCCUAAAGUCACAAAGUAGUGCUUUUUUGGAUGCUGACAGUGUCCAGAACACAAAUUUGACCACAAGUUUGUACUGCAUUAUAUUUGUAAAAUCUCCCAAAAAUAUAGUAUGGCAAGCGUAUCUUAUUAGAUAGUCUACCAAUAUUUAUAUUCUUAUGUCCAAUUUAAAUUAUCAUAAAAGGAUUAUUGAUCACAGGUAAAUAGUUCUUCAAUGUAAUUUUGAUUCCCUGCACAUUAUGCUCUUGGGUUUGGCACCACCAUGGCUUAUGUUCAGGUUUUGACUGUCCAGAGUAUGAUAGUACACUUGGUUUUAGAGUUUGAUAAAGAACUGUGGUUCUCGAAGUUACUUCGUUGUUUCUAGUUGUUACUGUCUAUAGUAGACGAUAUUAAAGUCCCUUUUUUUACAAAGGCAAGUGUAGGUGAUGUGCAAUGUGUUUCUUAGAUGGUAAUGAAUGCUCUCUUCCUGAACUUGUAGUUUUGGCUGCCGUUGAAUGUGAGUAUGUUUUGCUGGGUGGUGCUAGCUCUUAUCUAGUUUAGCAUUCAAGUGAUGUAUGUCUCUUUGAAACUUGAGGUCCUGGUUCUUUACAGGACACUAAAGGAGAGGUGCAUCGAUGGUCCGUGAUGUUCAGACUCAAGAUCUUCCUGAAGGAGGACGGUGUGGUGAACCCCGAGACCAUCAUCGUGUGUGAUGAGUGGCCAUGGUGGAUCAGAUUCAUUAGCAUAGUUUGUUUGUUGUGGUGUUGGAUUAGCUUCUUCUUUUGAGAAUUUUUUUUGGUAAGAUGAUUUGGAGUGCACGCAUGUAUUUGAAUGGAUUCAUUCUUGAUUUGAUUUGAAUAGAUCUCAGGAAAUGAUCUGGAAAGGCUGUUUGGUCGAGUGGUGAUGUUGGUUUUGUCUCGAGGACACUUGCGACUUGUAAACUUUGCAUUGUAUUGUGCGACAUGGAGUUAGUUGGUCAAUGUUGAGAAGUACAGUGUUUAUUUUGGUAUACCGAACAGACUGGCUGGUUGGAUCCUUCCAUCCUAUUGAGUCUGGAUGUUUGGCUCAAUAGUUAUUCUCCAUGAAUGCUACUUCCUACGUUCCAAAAUAGAUGACUCAACUUUGUAUUAACUUUAGUACAAAGUUGAGUCAUCUAUUAUGGAACGGAGGGGGUACCUCGUUAAUUCGGUUUAUAGUAACUACCUGGUAAUGGUCGGUUGAUUCAUAUAUUGUGUUAUUGGAACUGAUACCUUGGUUGUGCUGGGCGAGCGGCUCGCAGACCAGGAGGUCCAAAGACCGGGACCGGCCCCGGCGGGUCACUUUGACGAGGAGGAGGCCACCAUGUCCUUUCCUCUCUUUUGGUGUUGUUUGCAUCAAGAUUAUCUGACAAUGAAAUUGAAGAUAAUCGAUCCGUGGUGUGUGUUAAUUAUGUGGGAAUUACUACUUUUGAAUCCUGAUGAUGGUUCAUUCUUAUUUGAAUUGAAUCUGCAUAGCUGCUUAUUUGAAUUGAAUCUGCAUAGCUGGCUUUUGGUAGGGCAUCUACAAUGUGGGACGCCUAGACGCGUAGAGGUAGAGAAAAUAAAUAACUUAAAAUUAAAAUCAUAUAAGCGUAUUCUCUGACUGGAAACAACUUUGAUAGUCUACCAUGUACAGGGCAAACUGCUUUUGGCAUCUUUGCUAUAGAUGAUGUCGGGAUUUGGGGGCUCAAAUGCAUAUCAGCUCUGAAAGAAAUCCUAGCGCCUUGGGCUAGAAUCGAGCGUUGAAGAUGGCCUUAUACUCUUAUAUAUUACUCUCCGCUACAAGUGUUUUCCUAUCUGCUCUUCUCUAAUGUAUGUACUGGAGUAAUAUAUGAAAUCCACUAGGGAAGAUGUGUUUUUCUUUUCAUUAUAGCAGGAAGGGGACACAUGUUUUGUUAGGAGAGACAAGGGAGAGGAUUAGGGAUCACCAUGCAGAAAUCUGACGUGAUUCAUUCACAACAUAUAGUAAUUAAUUAAUGGGGAGUGAUACGCGCCGGCGCACCGGCCGAACUGUUCGGCCGGUCCAGCCCAAGCCGUGCGAUGCGGUCAGCCCCAGCCGUUAGAUUUCCGCGCGAGGCCACCACCGAACCAACCAUUGCAGCAAAAAGAACACGUUUUUGUUGCAACCGUUGUACGAACAGCCACAAUGAGAAAAACAGGGGAGCUCGAUCCCCCGCGUCCGCCCAUCCCCGAUCCGCGGCAGUGGCGACCGGAUCCGCCUGUUCUUCGUUGCCCGCAGCCGAAUCACGUCUAGGAGGGGCUCCCCCACCUAUCAAGCCGCCUUGGGAUUGCUUCAAUCAUGUCUGUAUAUACGUCAUGACCUCCUUGCCGCCAUGGAUUUAGGCUCGAGCUCCGCUGCCGUUCAUGGCCGGAGUCCCCUGAGGAGGCAGGGCCCUGGUGGUAGUGGACCGGUGUUGCAACGGUACUACAACCCUGAUGUCUCAUGUGUUUCUCGUUGGCUCCAUGCAUGCAGCAGCGUGUCCCCGUAGUUGCAUCUCCCGGUGACGACGGUCGCAACUCCGGUGAUGACGAACGCAGCUCCGGCGUUCUGCGGCUGCAGGUCGCACCACCUCCGGCGACGAGCUCGUAAGAAAACUGUACUCUCCGUCGGGGUGUCGGUAGCAGCAAAAAGAACGCCCGGUUGUAGCAAAAAAGGGCAACGCUUCCAACAAAUUAAAAGCUCGCCGGCACCACUGUAGCAAAAAUGUUAACCAAUUGUAUCUUCUGUGGCUGCCGGUUGCAGCAAAAAAAUGACACGGUUGUAGCAAGAAAAACAUUGACGUCGACCGGCCGCUGCAUAUGGUGGUAGCAAACCAUGUCGCCGGUGGUAGCAAAUGAAGCCGUCGGUGGUAGCAAAACAAAAAACUAGUUCCAGCAAAAAAGAAUCAGCUACAAAUACAGUAGUUGGUUCCAGCAAAAAAGUUUAUGGGUUGAAGCUUUUUAAAUGUAGGGUUGAAGCUUUCAUGUAAACGGUUGCAGCUUUUUUUAUUUGGGCAAGAAAUCGAUAGCAAAAAAAGGAUGUAGCAAAAAAACACGCUGGUCGUAGCAAAAGAUAACGGCAGUUGCAGCAACAAAAUGUCGUUGUUGCAGCAAAAAACGGAUGCAACUUUCGUCCGUCUGCAGUUGUAGAUAUUUUUCCCACCCCACAGCUUGAGCGGUUGGUGAAAAAAAAAGCUGACCGAGUAAACGUGGUGGGCCAAGGCCACGUGAUGGGCCAAGGAAAAAAAACAACGUGGAUCGGGAGGUGCGGGAGCGCUGGAUCGCUACCCGAUCAAGCGGCGUGCGCGGGACCGGCCGAAACGCUCGGCCGGUGCACCGUCUGGGAACAUUUCCCUUAAUUAAUUAGCCAGGAAAUAAACUGAAACUUCCAACCGAUUGUUAAGGAAGAAACUUAAAAACCUUCCAUCAUUAAUUUUCUUGAAGUUAUCUCUCCUCGGAAUCAGGCAACCUUGACGCACCCCCUUUAAUUUCUACCAGUAAGUACUAUAUCUCUCCGCCUCCUCCUCUUCCUCCAUUGAUCCCUCCCUUCUGUUCCAUCUAUUGGCCACCGCCUCCUCACGCGGAUUGCCCCUCAAUACGACGUCUCUCCGCGUUCUCCGCCCGCUCAUUGCACAAGCCAUCUUCGUAUCUCAGCCUAUAAAUGCCCAGCCAACCCUUUUGAUCAUGCUCGCGCCCCACGUGUUGCUCCUCCUCUUUCUGCCGAUUGACUAGGCGCCGGCCACCACCUCCUAUUUUCUCCUCGAGCCAACACAGAACGAGUACAUCCUGCGGCCGCAAUCCCAAAGGUUGUGCCAUGUCGUUCCGCUCGUGUCCGACUAUCACAGAUGCCGAGAGAUGAUCCGCUGGCGAGCAAGCGGCACCACGAUCUUGUCUAGUCGAGUGGCCAUGCUCUAUCUUCAGUGCCCCGACCAUACUGGUAUGUCCUCUCUCUCUCUCUCUCUCUCUCUCUCUCUCUCUCUCUCUCUCUCCCUCUCUCUCUCUCUAAAACUGAUGAAUUAUCUUGCGAACCUUCUGAUGCAGAUUCCCACAAAAAAAAAA
rnacentral:lncRNA from 1 species